rnacentral:lncRNA from 10 species
UUUCAUUUGAAAAAAACAGAUUUAGUUUUAUGUCUGGAAUUUUAAUCUGUGUGUAAUGGACAGACUGGAUUUGAGUUAUAUCUGGGUUCUUGUGAUGGUUUUGUGAAAACAGAUACCAAGAUAGAGUGAAAUAGGCUGUGUACACCACUAUUGCAAAAAACAAUAACUCAACAUUUCUUUGGAGUUAACAGCAUGAAGAUGGCCCUUCUGCAUUGAAUUAGUUCAAUUGAUACCAGCCUUCAGUUAAGUAAGAAAAGUUACUUUAAAAAACCAGCUGGCACUCAUUUUUACAAUUGUUUGUUCCAUAGCAUUUGUUGUUUAAAUGAAUUCAGCAAGCUGCCAGCCUGUUCCUUCAUAUUAAUCCUUCCAAGUAUUUGAGAGGUUGCCAGAGCAUGUCCUGACAUUACAAAAUCAUUAAGUAAAGCAUUUUCAGUAACCAGUGUUGGAGAGGAGAGAAAAGGAAAUGGGAAGGGAGGGAGGGGAGAGAAUGGUAGGGAAGGAAGGGAGGAAGAAAAAGAGAGAGGAGAAAAAAAUGGACUGAAAGAAAGAGAAUGAAUGAAUCAACUACAAAUCCUACAGAAUCCCUUCUGUUCAUGUCUUUUUGUUUGCUUCAUUUUCCUGUCCCAAUAACAUUUGUUAAGAAUGUGUUAAUAAAUUUUAAAGGCUAUUAUUUCUUAAGAUAGCUUUAUAAUAAUAACAACUCUUCCUAAAGCCUUCAAUUUUAAUUUAGGAAUGUUGAGUAAAGAUGGAUGUCCACAGCAGCAAAAUGGACACAGGUGCCCUAUAAAAGAACCAGGAACCAUCUCUUCAGUCACCAGGCUGAGUCACAGCUGCUCUUUGCUUAGCACGCUGAUCAGGGGUACAAAGUGAUGACUCUCUGGAUGAACUUUUCAGGCAGAAGGUCAUUCUGUGGGUGAUGCAGAAAUGACAAAAGGAGCUAUCCCACAUGUCACCUUCUACAUGAAGAGUUCCCUCCGUUAAAGUGAAAAGACAGCCUACACAAUAGGAAAAGACAUUUGCAAAUCAUAUAUCCAAUAAGUGAUGUGAAUUGGGUCAUUCUUGUCACACCCAACUAAAACAGAGUCAAGAAGCCAUUAGGAGAAGCACUCAGGGAAUGUAACAGCACUUUGAGAAUGUAAUUUUCUGCAAGCCUGGAUGCUGAAAUUGCCUGCUGUAACCUGAAACCAGUUUUAUCUCACGGCUGCUGAAACAACCUGCUGCAAUUCUAAGACUGGUUUUACUGCCAUAACUCACCAAUGAGAGCUUGCCACCUCCCGAAAAUUUGACUAAUGCCAAAGAACUUUCUGGAAAAACAAUACAUAACAUUUCUCUUUUUUAUAAACUCCCAGUCUUCUCUUCAUUCUUCGGAUAUACUGAAGACCAUCCUAUCUGUAUGUAUGUCCCUCAUUGCAAUUCUUGUAUCCCAAAUAAAAUGUUAAAUUCAGAAAGUCUUCUGUGUAUUUUUAUUUUGAUUUCAACAGGUGUAUGUAUCUAAAAUAUUUAAGGACUCCUGCAAAUCAAUAAUAAAAAGAAAAAUAACACGAUUUAAACAUGGGCAAAGAUUUGAUAGGUAUUUCCCCAAGGAAGAUAUACAAAUGGCUAAUGGGCAUAUGAAAAGACGCUCAACAUCAUUUGUUAUUAGGCAAAUCAAGUACACAUGACUUCACAUCAACUAGGGUGGCUAAAAUCAACAAUAGGGACAAUAACAAGUAUUAGAAAGGAUGUGAGUCAUUGGAACCCUCAAACAUAGCUGGUGGGAAUGUAAAAUAGGGCAGUCACUUCAGAAAACAAUUUUGCAGUUUCUCAUGGAGUUAAACAUAGAGUUGCCAUAUGACCCAACAAUUCUAAGUAUUACCCAAGAGACAUGAAAAUAUAUGUCCAUAUCAACCUGCACAUGAAUGUGUAUAGCAGCAUUAUUUAGAAUAGCCAAAAAAGUAGAAAUGUCCAUCAAAUGAUGAAUGGAUAAACAAAUGUGGUAUAUUCAUAUAAUGGAGUAUUAUUCAGCUAUACAAAGGAACCAAGUACUGAUACUGGCAACAACAUGGGUGAACAUUAAAAACAUUAUGCUAAGUAAAGAAAAGCCAGAAACAAACACAUUUUGUGAUUCAAUUUUUAUGAAAUGUCCAGAAUAGGCAAAUCUAUAGAGACAGAAAGUAGAUUCGAGACAAAAAGUAGAAAUCUAAAGAGACAAGAAGUAGAGACUGAAAGUAGGUUGCCAGAAACCUGGGAAGAGGGAAAAGGAGAUGACUGCUAAUGGGAACAGAGUUUCUUUUCAGGAUUGUGAUAAUGUUCCAGUAUCAGAUAGUGGUGAUGGUUGCACAAUUUUGUGAAUAUAUUGAAAACCCUGAGCUGUAAACUUUAAACUAAAAAAUAUAUAUUUAAAAAUUUGUGGCUGGGUGUAAUGGCUCAUGCCUAUAAUCCCAGAACUUUGCAUGGCUAAGGCGAGAAGAUCACAUAAGCCCAGGAGUUCAAGGCCAGCCUGAGCAACAAAGCAAGACCCCGUCUCUACAAAAAAUUUAAAAAUUAGCUGCGCAUGGUGGCAUGCACCUAUAGUCCCAGUUACUCAGUAGGAUUGCCACUUGAACCCAGGAAUUCUAGGCUGUGUGAGCUAUGAUUGUACCACUGCCCCCUAGUCUGGGCAACAGAGCAAGACCCUGUCUCUAAAGAAAAAAAAAAUUGCUAUCUCACUAAUUAGAGACAUUCAAUCUAAGAUGGGUGUGAGAUGAGGGAUUGAAAGAGAAAAAUAAUCGGAUAGAUAUGGUACCAUGUCAUCUGCAGCAAAAGGAAAAGGAUAUCUUCCCAGUUGCCUUUCCCUUCCUUCUCAAACCCUGUUCUUUCUCAGGCUGCAGUGGGAAAUGGAAAGCAGUAUAUGAGGGGCAAGUGUGAUCAAGUAUACAGCAAACUGCAUCUAAUAACAGUAUAUUACACCUAGAUCUGUCACUCCCAGGCUGCUCAUGACAGUUAUAGAAAGCAAGAGGAAAGGGAAGAGGGGAGGUAUUUGCUACCUGGUAUUAAUAAAUAUCUAAGGCUCAUACAACACGUCGUCCCAUAGACGGCAUUUCAUCCCAGUUUACCCAAAUAAAACUUUGCCAGAAGUCAGACAAAACCACUCCAUGUGCUCUUGCUCUCAUGACCCCUACAGCGGGAUGCCUUGAACUAGACUUCAGCAUACGCUCUUUUUGUUUUUGGAGAUGGAGUCUCUCUCUGUCGCCCAGGCUGAAGUGCAGUAGCACGAUCUUGGCUCACUGCAACCUCUGCCUGCUGGGUUCAAGUGAUUCUCCUGCCUCAGCCUCCUGAAUCACUGGGAUUACAGGGGCCCACCACCAUGCCCAGUUAAUUUUUUGUAUUUUUUAGUAGAGACGGGUUUUUGCCAUGUUGGCCAGGCUGAUCUUGAACUCCUGACCUCAGGUGAUCCACCUGCCUUGGCCUCCCAAAGUGCCGGGAUUACAGGCUUGAGCAACAGCACCCAGCCAGCAUACGCUCUUGAGCUCUAUGUUUUGAGGUUACAAGAGACCCUCUCUCUCUCCUGUCAGCUAUUAAGGCCUGAUUGACAUUAUUCCAGAGAGCAACUAGUUCUAGGAUGCUUUUCUUCGUAUCUAAUAGACCUACGGGUCUUAUAGGGAAAAAAUGGAGAACAGGGAACAGCAGGCAGCUGACUGUGCUGAAUGUAGAGCUGGAACCACAACCAGUAGUUACCAGUGUCUCACCCUCCUGCAGGAAGGAUGCCUGAACCUGACCCACCACCUGCAUAGUCUCUAUAGCCACUCCUACCAUCUGACCUGUAGACUGGAAAUGGUUCCAGCCCACAUGCUUUUGUCACAGAUGCUGCCAUAUAUGGACAUGCUGAGCUCUUUCCAUUUAGGUAGCAAAAAAUGCUGAUCUUAAUUUUUAUUGAUCUAGGACAAGGAAAGUAAUUUCCAUCUUAUAUUUCACAGCUUGGAAACUUUACCAGACAGCCUGGUCUUUGAGACAAGCAGUCUUGACUCUGCUUCCCUUGGGCAACUUACAUUAUUAACCUCUUUGAACCUCAGAUAUCCCCUCUGUAAAAUGAUAAUAUCUAAUUCAAAAAGUUGUUGUUUGGAUUAAAUGAAGACAACUACUGUAGAGUACCUAACGCAUGUUCUAGCUCAUCAUCUACUUAGAAUGAGUGUCGCCAUUAUUAUUGAU